rnacentral:lncRNA from 1 species
GCCCAAGCCCCGCCCCGGAGGCCACGCCUCUUUCCCCUGCGUGUCUGCAGUUUCCCACGGAACCGGAAACGGAAGGCGCGUGGGGACGGUCCCGAGGCCGCAGGCAGGCAUCUUCGUCGCCCUCCAUGUAUAUACGACGGCGAGGAGGAUCAGGAGAAGCAGAAACGGAGCGACUGCCAGAGAAACGGAAAACCUGAGAAGGAGAGAUGAAUGGGGGAGAACGGAUCAGAAAUGGUUACUUGGGAGUUCCCUUAGUGGCUCAGUUCAAACGAAUAUGACUAGCAUCCAUGAAGACCCUGGCCUCCCUCCUGCGAGUCAAGGAACCUGCGAUGCCGUGAGCUGUGGUGUAAGGUCGCAGGCGCAGCUCCGAUCUGGCGUGGCUGUGACUCUGGCGUAGGCCAGCAGCUACAGUUCCAAUUUGAGCCCUAGCCUGGGAACUUCCAUAUGUUGGGGUGCGGCCCUAAAAAGACAAAAAGAAGAAAGGAAGAAAUGCUUAGUGGGAGUUCCGUUGUGGCUCAGCCGUAAGAAAUAACUAGUAUUCACAAGGUCGCGGGUUGGAUCCCUGGCCCUGCUCUGUAGGUUAAGGAUCCAGCGUUGCCGUGGCCUAGGCUGGCAUCUGCAGCUCCGAUUCCACCGCUAACCUGGAAACGUCCUCGGGGUGCGGCCCUAAAAAGACAAAAAAGAAAGAAAGAAAUGGUUUGUGAUAGAAAUGAUCACAUGCCUUAGUCCUCAAGUCCCAGACCCCAGGUUUUGUCCCUGAGCCUCUGGAAUCUCGAGAGUUGAGUUUGGCUUCCUUGCUGAAUGAGAAAUGGAAGGGAAAGCUGUUUGGUAGGGUGUCCCAUGAAAUGGCCUGUUCUACACAGGGAGAAUUUUGUAGCUGUCAAUCUAAUUUGUAAUAAAGGAACAAGUCCUCUUUCUGUUUCUUAAGCG